AUUCUACCAGCAUGACAAUUCGAGCCCUUGGUUCAGCCAUGCGCACACACAGUUUAAACCAAAGAUCUGUUUUAUCAGCCAUACAAAUAGGCAACAGGCCCUGUUUCCAAGGGCUACAAGUUCAUGAAAUGACGAUAUUCAAGAUACAGAUACAUAGUUACGCGACACUUUCAGAGUUGACCGACAUUACAUCAAGGGCUACAGCGUAAGUACUGGCAUUUCGAAGAACAGAGCGGACUACACACUGCCAGGCAAAGAUACCUCAGUAACAGUAUUUGGUGGAGUAAUCCUUGGGCGGCCUUUACGAGCUCCUCUGUAGACAGUUUCUUUCACUGCCCAGUCAAAUCUUGUUGUUUCCUGUCCCAAGAUCAAUCAUGAUGUGCUUGUUGCGGAAGAAGAACAUCACCGUCGACGGGUCAUACAGCUCGUACAUGGUGUUGAAGUCAGGAACCUCCGUGAUGUCGACGAGGUAGAUCACCGCAAAGUUUUUAUGGUCUCAGCCACCCCUGACAGCACCUCAUUCAUCUAAACAUGAACAAGCAGAUAGUCAGAAACUUGUAAUGAAGUCAACAACAUACAACCAUGCUAGAUUGAUGUAGAACCAAAGCCUGCUAAACAAUUAAACUGCAAGUCUGCAAUCUAAGACAUUUUAUUACCCAUCGCUUAACUUCCUCCGACUAUAAUGGCUAGUUCUACUUCAACUCAAUCAAGCAACCAGUUGUAAACUACUACAAAUAUAUAUAUAUAUAUAUAUAUAUAUGUGAAACACAGCAAAGUAUAAAAGUGAGUUGCAACCUAGCUCUCAGUACACAUAGAAGCUUCACUUCAACAAAAAGAGACAUCCAAAAUCAUCCCACUUCUACCCUACUCCAAAUUGACCAACUAACUUCUGAGACUAUGAGCCUAUGAUAAUGGAAAGGCUGAAUGCAAAAUCUCUUGUAAGAUGUGUGGAUAUUACUACAUAUGAGCAUUAAGAGCAUUAGGUCCCAUAUUAAUCCUCUAAGUAGCAGCCCUGCCCAGUACACCAAAACAGCAGCUAAGCUAUUUAUAUUAACGCUAUCAUAACCAGAUCAUUAACAAAGCUAACCAUUUAACAUAAAGAUAAACAGAUCAUGGAAGCACUCCAAUGUGCAAGAAACCAUCCAUGAGUAGCAAUAGCAACCUCAUGUAAUAUAACUACAGAUAUCCAGACUUACUAGAUUGAUUUAGAACCAAAGCCUGAUAAAAUUGAAAGUUCAACCUGCAGUAACAAAAGGACUUCAGAGAUGGAUUAUUUUGCACAACACAAUGAAACAAGUUGCUGAAUGGAAAAAAAAGAGAAGCACAAAUGACUCAAUUUCCACAUGAUUAUGUGGUGAGGUACAUGAUGUCAUGAUGGCUGGUUCUACUUCAACUUAACUAAGGAACCAGCUUGAACUACUACAAAUAUGUUGCAGGCAGAAAAAUGAGAGCAACAAUCUAGGUCAUUAAAAAUUAGAAGCUUUAUUUCAAGAAAAUCGGAGACACAGGGCCUUCCUCCACUUCUGCUACAUAUCCAAACUAACCACAUAUUCUCUCAGGCGCCUGCAGGAUGUGUGGAUGGUACCUGGGGAGCAGCACAAUUGCAAAGCACUAAGAGCAUUUGUUUACAUAUAAUCAAUCAUCCGAGGAGGUAGCAGUGAAGCACUGAGAUUCGUAAAGACCUCUGUUCAGCAAUUCAUACAAAUAGUUCACGCCAAAUAUCACUUUUAGCAGUAAUACCAAUAGACAGCAGGUCCUGUUUUAAAGGGUUACAGGUUUAUGACAUGUUGAUAUUCAAGAUACAAAUACAUAGUUACGACACUUUCAAAGUUGACAGACAUUACAUCAAGGGUCACACAGCGCAUAUCACGGAACAGAGCAGGCCACACACUGCACAUGAAUAGCCAGGCACAGAUACCUCAGUAACGGUAUUUUGUGGAGUAAUCCUUGGGAGCAAUCACCAGACCACGCCCCUUACGAGCUCCUCUGUAGACAGUCUCCACAAUGUCAACAAACUCUUGCUUGUCUUUCAUUGCCCAGUUGAUCUUGUUGUUGUUUCCCGUCCCGAGAUCAAUCAUGAUGUGCUUGUUGCGGAAGAAGAACAUCACCGUUGACGGAUCAUACAGCUCGUACAUGGUGUUGAAGUCAGGAACCUCCGUGAUGUCGACGAGGUAGAUCACCGCAAAGUUCUUUAUGGUCUCAGCCACCCCUGACAGCACCUCGUCCAUCUAAACAUGAACAAGCAGAUAGUCAGAAACUCAUAAUGAAGUCAACAACAUACAACCAUGCUAGAUUGAUGUAGAACCAAAGACUAAUAAUAAAAAGUUAAACUGCAAGUCUGCAAUCAAGAAUAUAAAACAAUUGGCCUUCAAUAAAAGAAGAAAAGCACCCAUCGCUUAACUUCCUCCGAGUAUUAAUGGCUAGCUCUACUUCAACAGUUCAACUCAAUCAAGCAACCAGUU
rnacentral:lncRNA from 1 species